AUUGAACGCUGGCGGCAGGCCUAACACAUGCAAGUCGAACGAGUGGCGGACGGGUGAGUAAUGUCUGGGAACCUGCCCGAUGGAGGGGGAUAACUACUGGAAACGGUAGCUAAUACCGCAUACCAUCGGAUGUGCCCAGCUGGGAUUAGCUAGUAGGUGGGGUAACGGGGCACCUAGGCGACGAUCCCUAGCUGGUCUGAGAGGAUGACCAGCCACACUGGAACUGAGACACGGUCCAGACUCCUACGGGAGGCAGCAGUGGGGAAUAUUGGGCAAUGGGCGAAAGCCUGAUGCAGCCAUGCCGCGUGUAUGAAGAAGGCCGUCGGGUUGUAAAGUACUUUCAGCGAGGAGGCGUUACUCGCAGAAGAAGCACCGGCUAACUCCGUGCCAGCAGCCGCGGUAAUAC
rnacentral:rRNA from 1 species